rnacentral:rRNA from 1 species
UACGUAGGGUGCGAGCGUUAAUCGGAAUUACUGGGCGUAAAGCGUGCGCAGGCGGCUUGUCAAGUCAGAUGUGAAAGCCCCGGGCUUAACCUGGGAAUGGCGUUUGAAACUGGCAGGCUAGAGUUUGGCAGAGGGGGGUGGAAUUCCACGUGUAGCAGUGAAAUGCGUAGAGAUGUGGAGGAACACCGAUGGCGAAGGCAGCCCCCUGGGCCAAAACUGACGCUCAUGCACGAAAGCGUGGGGAGCAAACAGG